UUAUGAACGUGAUUUUCACAUGGAUGCUGCAGAUCUGAACUCAGACCCCCAUGUUUGCAUAGCAAGCCCUCAACCCACUGAACCACCUCUCCAGCCCUUCGGUGCUCUUAAUUUAAACUCUACCAUCGAGCCGUUCUUCCUGCUAUUUGCCUUAGUAAAAGCCAAUUUCACUAUUGCCCCCACUCAAACCAAACCCGAUGAAGCUUUCUUUUCUUACAUAUACACUUUUGAUUUUUAUAUUUUAAAAAAUUAGGUGUAUGUGUUUGUGCAUGGGAGAUGUGGAUAUGUGCAUAUGUGUGCAGAUGCCUACAGAGGCCAGAGGCAUCUGAUCCCCCCAAAGCUGAGACAAUUGAGAGCUGUGGGAGACUCAAUUCCUCUGCAAAAGCAGUAUGUGGUCUUGACCACUGAGCUAUCUCGCCAGCCCCUGUAAGUAUUUUUAUUUUGAUAGCUUCUUCUUCUUUUUUUUUUUUUUAACAGAAUGCAAUGCCCACCAUGCACACUGUUCCUAGUGCUAAAUAAAAGUGUCCAAAGCCUACAAAACUACUACUUGUCACGGAUUCAGAUUUCUAAUUAGGAGACAGAGGACAGCGGAACACCUGGGUCAGCUGCUGACCAGUGUGGUGAGAGAACACCAGCGCAGGGCAGAGGGCAGAGGCUGAAGGAGGAGGGUGGAACACUGCUGCUUCAUUAGGAGACACGUCGUGGAGAAGGUGGACUUUGUCUAAAGAUCUGAAGGCAAAGAUGAGGUGCUACCUGAGGAAGAGUCUUCUAGAACAAGGGGGCCCAGUGUGCAAAGACACUUGGAGUAGAGGCUCUGGUCUUGGCAAACAUGUGUACUCUAUUCAGUCCCUUAGAGAACACCACGGGCUCGUCAUCUGAAAUACAGCGUCCACCCUCAUUGCUUUCUCUCUUCCUCAGACCACACUUCAAUAAUCACUGCCUCAUUACUUUCAUGGUCUAAUUUCUGGACCCCUAUAUCUUGUCCCCCACACACAUACACUUAUACCCUCUUCAGCAUAGAUGCUAUGUGAUUCUAUUAAAACAAGUCUAUUCGUGCUAGGUUUCAAAGUCUCCCAUGGUUUCACAAAUCACGCCACACAAAUGCCUCGCAUCUUGUCCAUUGCCUGCUCAGCCCCCACCCCCACCCCCUGCCUCUAACCCGUCACUCAUAUGCCUAAACUCGCUCACUCAGCCUCGUCUCCAGUCCUUCAGACUCCUCCUGUUCUACAAGCUUCGGAAGUCAGCAUUUAUCUGGCAUUAAGAACAGCGUGUGUGGUAGCUACUCAAUAGCUCCUUGUUGAAAAGGGUACUGCUCUGUCACUGGAAAAAGCCUUGAGCGUAUGAAUACACAUGCUGUGGUAACUGAGCUCUGUGACAUCCCUCAAUGACCCUUGCCUUCUGGCUGCCCUGCCUUGGUGGACUCUCCUCCCACAAUGGAUCAGAGUGAACCUAUUUGACCCAGAGAUUACAUGAUGGUGUGUGACUUCCCAGAUUAGAUUACAAGACAUAGAACAAUCACUACUUUUUCCUCUGAGGGGCGCCAGUUGCCGUGGGAGCACUCAUCUACCCUGAAAGUGAGUUCAGUGGCAAGUGACUGAGACCUCCAUCCAAUAACCAGUACCACCCCCAUCUAGUAACCAAUACCACUUCCCCAUCUAAUAACCAAUAUUACCCACCCAUCCCCAUUUAAUGACCAACACCAUUUGCCAGCCACUGAAAGAGAUUUGCCUGCUUAUAACUAAGUUUUCAUAUGGCCACAACUUUGGUCAACAUCUUGACUAAAACUUCAUGAGUGACUGUCCAAGGCAGAACCAAUCAGCUGAUGUUCUCAUUUCUGGUACACAGGUAACAUUCGAGACUACCCUUACUGUUUAGUGGUACUGCUUUGGGAGAAAUUUAUACCUGGAUUUACUAUAUGGAAAUGCUGUAUCCGAAAUCUAAAAUGUGAGUAGAAUCCUGCAAUCCAACACUGAGUAAGAACCAGGAGGAUAAAGAUGAAGAUGAAGAUAAAGUGAAAACACUAAACGACUUUGAAGUGACAGCCACUGGGGCUAAUGGGACAUGAGGAAAACAUCACUCUGCAUGAGAAGAAAGGAGAACCUUUUUAAGUACUGAAGAAGAAAUGCAACAAAACAGAAAAGAUCAGUGAAACUUGAAGCUUUUUUUUUUUAAAGAUUAAAGCGAACAAACUUUUACCUAGAUUAGUAAGAGGGAAGAGUCAAAUAAGCAAUUGACAUCAUAAAAUGAAGAAGACGUCACAGUUAGUACUGCAGAAUCACAAAGCCUAAGAGACUGGGGUGAGCAGGAUCUUCAACAAGCCGAACAACCUAGAAGAGAUGGACAGGUUCCUCAGAACGACAGCCUAACAGGAUGGAGCCACAGACAGAGACUGACGGAUUAGUAACCAGUGUGGAGAUGGAAGUAUCUCCAGGACCUCACCCCGGCUUCCCAAUGGUUCCCUGGUUCUUGUGAUCUCAACUGACCUAUUGUAGAUGCUAUAGGUAAGGUUUAUUACAGAGUAAUUGGAAACACUCUCACAGAGUGAGACUAGACAAUGGCCAGAGAGACCAUUACAAGGAGCUACACAUUUAGUGUGACUCAUAGCACUUUCUGAAGUCUCUGGGGGCAGAGAGCUUUCCCAAGGGGCAUUUUCCUGCUUGAGUGACUGACAGGCCUAUCUAGAUGAAUUCUUCAAGAGGAAGACAGUAACAAGUCUUUGUUCCUUACCAAAAGGCCUCCAGCAAUCUUGGGAUCUUUUUGGGUAGUUCAGACAGUCUCUCUUCCCCAUGGCCAAAGAUAUGACUCUCACCCCAUUUUUUUUUUCUGAAAUCAUGCAUCAGCACAGAUUAGCAAGAAGUAAAGAAAGAAAACUAAGCAAGUAUAAGGAAUAACCAUGCUUUCUUUAGCAGAAGCAGGAAGGUCUUCCCUGCCUGGACCCCAAGAAAGCAUGCUAUGUCCCCCUUUCUCACCUAUGUCUAAUCCAUAGUCCCCCGUCGUGGGAUCUUAGAUCUUGGGGGCAACUUGAUAUCUUCUCUCCAUUUCCACAUGCCUAAGAAGGUCAAUUAUGAUGUUUCCCCCCUUUUAUAAAACAGAGAGGCAAGAUGGCGUCCAAAGCUGAUUAUGAAGGAGGAGGUUCAUCCUCAGCAACCUUCAAGCUUGCUCAUUUCUAAGUAGCAAACACUAUCAACAAUCAUGAAGUCUGGAGCUUAGAAGAAUGUGGUAAUGUGCAGGACUAGAAGGGAGGGAGCCCUGUUUCGAGGUUGCAUCCACACUUUUAAACUCUCCUGAAGUCUCUAUGAUAAGAGGAAUCUAACCGAAACGAUUGGCUUGCAAACAUCUCGGCACUACUAAGUACAACACACACAGGGCCAUUCUAUCAAAGCCUUGAGUUAGAGGUCCGCUCUGAGAACCAUGCUCUGCAGACCAUGCUCUGAGGACCACGCCCCGCUGUGAGAAAAACAGAGCCGACCUCACACCUUGGUACCUCCCCGUCUUCAAUAGAUUAAAAAGGACUGCAGCAAGAGCUUGCAAGCCUCUCUCUCACUUCCUCUCUCUUGCUCAGGAGAACUGUGAGAACUAACUGUUGAUCUGAAAGCAACCAUGAUUUGCUACAGAGGUGCGAGCUUGCACAGAGACCUGUGAAAUCCCACAGAACACAGGAAGUGUCUAAUUCCGCUGGAUCGGGCUGGUGUCAAGGCAGCUGACAGCUUCAGAGCCAAGAGCCUCCAGAAUCCUUUUUGGUAAGGAAUGUCAGCUACAAGGGGAAUCCCUACCUCACCAUCUACACAGAGUUCAAAGGAAAUGCAGAUUUAAUCAUUUGGUUUCUGUGUGACUUUCAAGUCAAAGUGAAACUAGAAUGUGAAUAUCAGAGCGUGUGAACCUUUUUGGUACGAAGCCUGGGUUCCCCUCUUACUGCUGCGGUGUGUAGAGGAUUGUGCAAUGUAAUAGCAGCAUCCAAGAUACACAGGGUCUCUGCUUCGACUCUCAAGAUGACUGCUGAUGCUCGGAGCUGAGCUGCAGAGUGCAGCAGCUCAUUGUUUGGGCCAGGAGUGUGCACGUGAAAAAUGACUCGCCGCACACUCUGCUUCCAUUCUGGUGCUCCGGGAAUGGAUUGACUUCAAAGAACUCUUUAAAAAUUAAAGUUAGGGGGACUGGAGAGAUGGCUCACUGGUUGAGAUUACUGACCGCUCUUCCAGAGGAGCCAGGUUCAAUUCCCAGCACCUAUAUGGCAGUUCAUAACUGUCUGUAACUCCAAGAUCUGACACCCUGAUGCAGACAUACAUGCAAACAAAACACCAAUGCACAUGAAAUAAAACUAAACUUAGAAUGCCACCUAGCAGUAGUGAAACUAAGUUCAAUCCCCAGAGCCAUUAAAUAAAUAUAAUGCAUGUAUAUGCAUAUAUACAUAUACAUAAUCUAUUUAUAAUUUAUAUUUCUCCAUUGGUGAACAAAAGUUAGAAUACAUGUUCAUUGUUAAAAAUAAGAAACAGAACACGGGUGAUGACCAACCUAAACAUCACCAGUGUGGUCUUACACAAAUAGGUUCCCUUUUCUUAUUUCAUUUAGAAACCCACUAAGCAAUUGGUGUAAUACUCCAUUUAGAGCAAGAACACCACAGAGUUGUCUCUGAUAUCCACAUAAAUGCUAUGACAUGCUUGCCUCCCUAUAUACACACAUCAUGUAUGUGUGUGUGUAAACACAUACACACACACACACACACACACACACACACACAGAGAGAGAGAGAGAGAGAGAGAGAGAGAGAGAGAGAGAGAGAGAGAUAUUAAAAAUAAAUCUAGUACCAGAACCUGAGUUUGAUCCCCCAAACCAUGUAAAAAAAAAAUCCAACCAUGUGAUGUAUGCUUGUAAUUCUAGCUCAGGGGAGGGAGAGCCAGGCAGACAGAUCCCUUUGUCUGAAGAAAGAAAGUGGAUGUCUCCAUGGAAGGACACCUGAAGUUAACCUCUGACCCCCACAGGCAUGCACAUGCAUAUGAACAUGUACCCACACACAUGAACAUACACAGGAAAACACUUCUCUUACGCCAUGCAUACCAUAAUUUGUAUAAAAUUCCACCAUAAAGGAGAGCUGGUUUCAGCUUCCUUUAUUAUAAACUAUACUGCAGCAACUAUAUGUGAAUACACAUUUUUUUCUGUUUAGCAUCAAUUUCGUACUAUUAAAUUUUCAAAAAAUUGAAAUUAAGACCAAAUUUCAGUGGUUUUUAAUGUUUCAUAAUUAACUUUGCUUCUUUACCAUGGCUUUAAAAAUAUUUAUAAAGGGCUGGAGAGAUGGCUUAGCUGUUAAGAGCACUUGGCUGCUCUUUCAGAAGUCCUGAGUUCAAAACACCAAUGCACAGAAAAUAAAAAUACAAAAUAAAACCCAACAAAAACCUAUAAGAUACCAAUUAUGAGGACAAACUUGGGGUCUCAAACUUUAUAAAUACUUCUUGAAACAUGCAAGACUGCCUUGGUAAGUAGGCCACUUAACCAGUGGGAAGGGACUGUGUCCGGCUGCCCUCAGCGAAAGGCAAUGGUCUGUGUUCCCAAGGUCACCAGGCCCCUUUGUCCAUUCUUCCCGUUAGCCCCAGGGUGGCCACCUUGGUGAAAUCUCCUAUUUCUGUUUUCACCAUAAUCCAUUUUUAAAUUUGUGUUUCAGGAGAGGCAGCUGAGCCCUGCUUAUUGGUGCUGCCAGAGAAAUGACACUUUUGGGGAAUGAGCCACUCAAAGGAACUUGACUGAAAAGGGAGCAGAAGGAUGGAAUGGCCCCAGGGACCUGUGGUCCUUCCUGAUCCCUUGGUGUUUUGAGGCUCUUUUGAACUCUUUGGAUUCACUUUGAACUAA
rnacentral:lncRNA from 1 species